rnacentral:antisense_RNA from 1 species
GAUGAGUGCGGUUUUAGGGGAGAAGCGUUGUGGUAUCGCCGCUGGCCCGCGGCAAUGCGACAAGGUCCUGAAGCGUGUUCGGUUGUUCCCGGAGCAUUGCAGGCAUCAAGUGUGACUGAGUAUUGGUGUUUUUCACCCGCCAGCGGUUUUUUUACUGCUGGCUUUUUUC